AUGGGGUUCCGUGAGUUCCGCUUGUUCAACUAAGCUUUGCUGGCACGCCAAGCUUGGCGAAUCCUCUCUAACCCGGACAGUCUAUGCGCACAAGUGAUGAAAGCUAAAUAUUUUCCAUCUGGUCUCCUUGUUGACACUGUUUUCCCGUCCAACUCUUCACCAACUUGGCAAGCAGUGGCGCAUGGGCUGGAGCUUCUGAAGAAUGGUAUUUUAUGGCGGGUAGGCAAUGGGCAAUCCAUUCGUAUAUGGAGAGAUCGUUGGAUCCCGAACGGUGGCUCCGGCAAACCAAUCACCGUGCAGGGGCGAUGCCGUCUAAGAAGAGUUUCCGAGCUGCUGGAUGAACGCGGUGCAUGGCGUAUGGACCUUUUACAACAAUAUUUCAAUCCGGUAGAUGUCGAGCAGAUUGUUAAAAUUCGGACUUCUCCACGGCUCGAAGAGGAUGUCCUUGCUUGGGAAGCGGAGCGUAAUGGUAUCUUCACGGUUCGGAGCGCGUACCGGCUUGCGCUUGAUGAACGUCUUCGUCCAUCUUCAGUCGCGGCGAGCAAGGCACCGGACGGGCGACGAGCCGUCUGGGCUUUUUUAUGGAGGUGCCCUGCUCCUCCUAAGGUGCGUGUGUUUGCUUGGCGGGUGGCGACGAACUGCCUGGCCACAUGGACUAAUAAACAUGCUCGUAGCCUUGAAGUAUCUAACUUGUGUCCUGUGUGUGCUACCGAACCGGAGGAUACUUUUCAUGCUCUUUGCAGAUGUCCUCAAGCGGUCGCCUUGUGGCAAGCUAUGGCGCGGCAAUGGAAUAUUCCGGACAUCCGUCGAGUCAUGCACACUGGGCCAAAGUGGCUUUUUCAUGUGCUUGCGGACUUGUCACCAGAGGAGCGGAUGUAUACGCUCAUGACGAUUUGGCGUUGCUGGCAUGUGAGGAAUGAGAUCGUCCACGACAAACGACCACCGCCGAUCGAAGCCUCGACCAGAUUCCUAACCAGCUAUAUCAACUCAUUGCUAGCCAUCCAGGCGUACCCUCAUGGAGAUCACAUCAAAGGAAAAAUGGUGGCUGCGCCUUUGUACAGCAGGAAAUUGUUAUCACAUGUAGAGCAUGAGAGGCCAUCAACACUUGGAUGGGAGGCACCGCCGGCCGGCUGGGCUGCGCUCAACAUCGACAGGUCCUUUUCUGCCAAGGACGGAACUGCAGGAGCUGGCAUGGUCCUCCGGGAUGAACAUGGAGAUAUUAUUUUUUCGUCUUGCCGUGAGCUAAGGCAGUGUGCAUCACCACUAGAAUCUGAACUUGCUGCAUGUUCAGAAGGCAUCUCCCUGGCUACCCAGUGGUCUGAGCUGCCUUUUGUGAUUCAAACGGACUGCGCAGAAGUGGUAAAACUAAUCGAAGGAGGUAUUGGCGACCGAUCGGAGCAUAUGAUGUUGAUCCGCGAGAUUACUUCGCGUCUUCGGGAACAUGGUGAAUUCUUAGUUAAUCUUGUGAGGCGUGAACAAAACGCUGUUAGUCACUUUUUAGUUAACUUUGGUCGAAUAAAGAAGUGCACUGCGGUGUGGCUUCGUUCUGGGCCGGACGAGGUUCCGGACCUAUGUAAUGCAGACAUGGCUGCCACUUAA
rnacentral:rRNA from 1 species